UUGGAUGCCGCAGCCGCCGCGGUCAGCGCUUCCUCCUGUGUCUUCGCUGCGCGUUGCAGGUUCCCGCGGCCUAGGCGGCAGGGAGGUGACACAGGAGCCCGUGGGAGGAAGAGGAAGGAGGAGAAGGGGGUGGAGAGUGGAGGGGGCCGAAGCUUGAGUGUGGAGGCCGCUUCCGAGCGGGGCGGAGAAGCAGAGAAGGCGCCGCGCCAGCCCCUCCCCCGCCGCCGACCCGCCCCGGCGGCCUCGGUCCUGCUCGCUGCGCCCGCCCCGCGGCCAUGCCGGGACCUCACGGGCGCUGAGGAGCGUCUCCAGCUAGCCGUGCUCCGCGGCCUCCUGGGCCCGUCGCCCGCCCUUCCGCACGCAACGCGCCCAGCCGCCGCCUCUUCCUUCGCCGGGCCCCGGGCCUCUGCGCAGACAACAUGGAGGCCGUGAAGACCUUCAACAGCGAGUUGUAUUCGCUGAAUGACUAUAAGCCACCCAUUUCUAAAGCAAAAAUGACCCAGAUUACAAAGGCAGCCAUCAAAGCUAUUAAGUUCUAUAAACAUGUGGUACAGAGCGUUGAGAAAUUCAUUCAGAAAUGUAAACCAGAAUACAAGGUACCCGGACUGUAUGUUAUUGACUCCAUUGUGCGACAAUCCCGGCAUCAGUUUGGUCAAGAAAAGGAUGUGUUUGCACCCAGAUUUAGUAAUAACAUCAUUAGCACUUUCCAGAAUUUAUAUCGGUGCCCGGGGGAUGACAAGAGUAAAAUAGUGAGAGUAUUAAACUUAUGGCAGAAGAAUAAUGUUUUUAAGAGCGAGAUUAUCCAGCCUCUCCUGGAUAUGGCGGCAGGGAUUCCUCCCCCAGUUGUCACCCCGGUUUUGGCCAGCACCACUGCAGCCAUGAGCAACACUCCAGGAACACCUGUGACACCUGUUACUCCAGCCAAUGUGGUUCAAGGCCUACCUGAUCCAUGGGUAUCGCAGAUAACAAACACAGACACACUGGCAGCUGUUGCCCAGAUCCUACAAAGUCCUCAAGGUCAACAGCUUCAGCAACUAAUACAGACCUUACAGAUACAACAGCAGAAGCCCCAGCCCUCUAUCCUUCAGGCUUUGGAUGCUGGCCUUGUGGUUCAGUUGCAGGCACUCACUGCACAGCUUACAGCUGCAGCUGCUGCAGCCAACACACUUACUCCCUUGGACCAGGGAGUCUCUUUCAACAAGAAGUUGAUGGAUAGAUUUGAUUUUGGGGAAGAUUCUGAGCAUAGUGAAGAAUCCAAAAAGGAAAUUCCUACUCCUCAACUCUCUCACGUUUCUGAGUCUGUGAACAACUCCAUCUUCCAUCAGAUAGCAGAACAGCUGCAGCAGCAGAACCUGGAGCAGUUGCGGCAGCAGCUCCUGGAGCAGCAGCAGCCUCAGAAGGUAACUCCUCAGGACAGCCAGGAGGGAGCAUUUGGCUCUGAGCACUCAGCUUCACCCUCACAAGGGAGUAGCCAACAGCAUUUUCUGGAACCUGAAGCAAAUUUAGAUGAUUCCAUAGACAUUCAGCAACAGGAUAUGGAUAUUGAUGAAGGGCAAGAUGUUGUUGAAGAGGAGAUCUUUGAACCAGAAGCUAAGAAAGUAGCUGUUCGCUCAAGAUCAAGAACUCAUUCACGAUCUCGAUCAAGGUCACCAAGAAAACGGAGGUCCAGGUCACGCUCUGGGUCCCGAAAGCGAAAGCAUAGGAAGAGGUCUCGCUCCCGCUCCAGAGAGAGAAAGAGAAAAUCCUCACGUUCCUAUUCAAGUGAACGCAGAGCCAGGGAAAGGGAGAAAGAACGCCAAAAAAAGGGCUUGCCUCCUGUCAGAUCGAAAACGCUAAGUGUAUGCAGCACUACUCUCUGGGUUGGCCAAGUGGACAAGAAGGCUACACAGCAAGAUUUAACCAACCUUUUUGAGGAGUUUGGGCAAAUCGAAUCCAUUAAUAUGAUUCCACCCAGGGGCUGUGCAUAUGUCUGUAUGGUUCAUCGACAAGAUUCAUUUCGGGCUCUCCAGAAACUGAGUUCAGGAUCCUAUAAAAUUGGUUCCAAGGUCAUUAAGAUUGCCUGGGCUUUGAACAAAGGUGUAAAGACAGAAUACAAACAGUUCUGGGACGUGGAUCUUGGAGUCACAUAUAUACCCUGGGAAAAAGUUAAAGUAGAUGACUUGGAUGGCUUUGCAGAGGGAGGCAUGAUUGAUCAGGAAACUGUAAAUGCUGAAUGGGAAACUGUGAAAACCUCAGAACCCGUUAAAGAGACUGUCCAGACGACACAGAGUCCAGCUGCAGUUGAGAAGGAGACAGUGGUCACAACGCAGUCAGAGGUUUUCCCUCCUCCUGUCACCAUGCUGCAGAUUCCUGUAGCACCAACCGUUCCUGCAGUUAGCUUAGUUCCACCAGCGUUUCCUGUGUCGAUGCCUGUCCCCCCUCCUGGAUUCAGCCCCAUCCCUCCACCUCCUUUUCUACGAGCAAGUUUUAACCCUUCACAACCACCUCCUGGUUUUAUGCCACCUCCAGUUCCCCCACCUGUGGUACCUCCCCCUGCAAUCCCACCCGUAGUACCAACAUCUUUAGUGCAACCACCAUUGUCUAUGACCCCAGAAACUGUGAAAGAUGUUGGAUUUGGCAGCCUUGUUUUACCAGGUGGUUCUGUUGCUGGCAAUCUUGCUCCUUCAACUCUACCAGCUGGAAAUGUUUUUAAUCCUCCCAGUAAAGCAGAGCCUGAAGAAAAAGUACCUCACCUUACAGAACACCAGAUUCCUUCUGGUGAGAAUACCAGACCAGUGAUUCCAAGUGAUAUUCCAAGCAGUGCUCCAAUGUUAGCACAGCCGCCUGGGGCCUCAAACACCUCUGGGAUCCUGUGCGUGCAGAGACCAAACGUAUCAAGCAAUUCUGAAAUUCUGGGGGUUCGUCCAGCCAAUGUUUCCAACAGUGCUGCGAUUAUGGGAGCCCAGCCACCAAAUAUGCUCAAUAACUCUGGAAUUUUGGGCAUACAGCCACCAAAUGUGUCCAGUGGCUCUGGACUUCUUGGGGUACUGCCUCCAAACUUGCCUAACAACUCUGGACUUGUAGGACUACAGCCACCAAAUGUUACAAAUCCUGCUGGACUUUUGGGAACACAGCCACCAAUUGGACCUCAAAACUUACCCCCUUUAACCAUCCCUGCUCAAAGGAUGCCUGCGUUGCCAAUGUUAGACAUUCGUCCGGGACUGAUAGCACAGGCUCCUGGGCCAAGAUUCCCUUUACUACAGCCUGGAAUUCCACCACAACGGGGUAUCCCUCCCCCAUCGGUACUUGACGCAGCUCUUCAUCCACCACCCCGUGGACCUUUUCCUCCAGGGGAUCUUUUUAGUCAGCCAGAAAGACCUUUUCUGGCUCCUGGAAGACCAAAUAUAGACAGUGUUCCUAACCCAGAUAAAAGAAUACCACUUGGGAAUGACAAUAUCCAGCAGGAAGGGGAUAGAGAUUACCGCUUUCCUCCUAUAGAAACCAGGGAGGGCAUUAAUAGACCUCCUCCAGUGGAUGUUAGGGAUGUGGUUGGACGACCUAUAGAUCCCAGAGAAGGCCCUGGAAGGCCUCCGUUAGAUGGUAGGGAUCAUUUUGGAAGACCUCCAGUGGACAUGAGAGAGACUCUUGUGAGGCCAGGUCUAGACCACCUUGGCCGAAGAGACCACUUUGGCUUUCCCCCAGAAAAGCCUUGGGGGCCUAGAGAUUUCGAUGAGAGAGAGCACCGAGUUCUGCCUGUCUUUGGUGGUCCAAAGGGCUUACAUGAAGAAAGAGGCAGAUUUCGGGCUGGAAAUUAUCGAUUUGAUCCUAGAAGUGGUCCUUGGAACAGAGGAUUUGGACAAGAAGUUCACAGAGAUUUUGAUGACCGCAGAAGACCCUGGGAGAGGCAGAGGGAUAGGGAUGACAGAGAUUUUGAUUUCUGCAGAGAAAUUAAUGGGAAUCGUCUUGGACGAGAUAGAAUUCAAAACACUUGGGUUCCCCCUCCUCAUGCUCGGGUUUUUGAUUAUUUCGAAGGGGCCACUUCUCAACGGAAAGGUGAGAAUGUGCCUCAAGUUAAUGGUGAAAAUACAGAGAGACAUGCUCCGCCACCGCCUUUGCCAGUGCAGAAGGACCCUGAACUCUAUGAGAAGCUGGCGUCUUCAGGAGACGCAGACAAGGAGGAGAGCGGCACAGCUGCUGGUGUAGAGAGUGAAGCGGUGGUAGAAAGCACAGAGACUGAGGGGACAUAACAUCGCUCAGUAGUUGUUCCUGUGCUUAUUCAGUGAGCUUCCCUCUGCUGGUCCAAUAUUCUCUUCUGGAGUAAUCACCUGCGCUCCCCUUCUUAGAUAAAAAGACCCAGAAGAUCGUGGGGAAGGAUGUGAAGUGGUUCAUCUUCGGCAGUCUGGUUGAAGUUGAAGGUGGAGGGAAAUGCCGAGCGGUUGGAUCUUUUCCUCUCGGAUGCACCAUGAUGUGGUGCUGGGAGAUAGAACAGCUCUCAUCAGCUCAGAUGUGAGGGACUAGAGACAGAGUCAAGUGAACCACCCAAGCCCUCUGAGUAGCCAGAAGAGGCCCAUUGGCAUCUGAUCAUUCAUCAUCAGAAGGGAGAGGUUGCUCUUCAGAGAGCUCAGCUUCUGCAGAGUCAGCUUGACCCACUGGCAGAGCUGCCCAGCUGUGGCCAACAGAUGGCUGAACUGGAGUCAGUACAGCUCUUGCCCACUUCCUACGAUCCCGGGGUCCUGGAAGGGAGGCUGCGUGUCAGCCUGUGAGUGUCCUUGGCAUCAAGUGAUGGAAAAGCACUUUGAAAAAUGAUUGACGGAUUUAGAGUGUAUGUGUGCAUGUGCGUGGAGGUCAGGGAAUUUUCUGGGUUUGUCCUCUCCCUCUACCAUAUGAGGCUUGGGGAUUGAACUCCAGUUGUCACUCUUGGCAGCAAUCACUUUUACCCACUGAUCCAUCUUGUCAUCCCUGGAAAAACAUAUCUUAACAGAAGGAGCCGGCGAGGGGAUCCCGGUGUCUUCUUCAAUCAGAGUACGUUUGAGCUCCCAGGAGAAAGCAAUUCAACUCAAUCAUUUCCUCUGGGCUUAACACUUGUGUGUGUGUGUGUGUGUGUGUGUGUGUGUGUGUGUGUGUGUGUGUGCUUUGUGUGUUGUCAAUGUUCAUGUGAGGCAGAGUGUUUACAUGGCAGAAAGGUGCUGUGAGAUGGAAGUGAUGAAACAAAAAACCUGCUACUCGACCUUCCAAAAGGGAGCAAAGUGUUUUAAAGAAACUCUUUGGGUGGAGUUCAGGGAAGGACAGUCUGUGUGUUGAUGAUAUCGGCUUAGUGUUCUGUGAUCAGAACUUCCAACAAAAUUCUGAACAGCAAUAGAAAACAUCUUGUUUGAUUCCACUGCCCCCUGUGUGUUGUCUCUCUUCUUUCUCCCUUCCUUUCGAUAGAAUCUUGCGAAUGCAGUCAAGACUGGCUUUAGACUCUCUAUCCCUGAUAGAGCACGUGAACCACCAUGCUUGACCUUGGCUUGAACAAGUUAUAGGAGCAAAAUUUGUUGUCCAAAUAUUUCCAGGCACAUUCUGUGUAUCAGGAAUUGUUCUGAGUUACUGGAGAUUAAGAGCGCACACUGGCUUCCUCCUUCCCUAGAAUCUGUGUACGUUAAGCACCAAGGGUCUGCAAAAGAUGUCAGAGAGGUAGCUUGUGGUGGCAUUGGUGCAAUCUCCUUUAACUUUUAGCAUAGAUCCACUGAGUGGCUCCAGUGCCUUGACGGCUGUGACUUGAGGAGGUUGUCAAGAGAGUGGGGCAGUCUUUUGAAACCUUCAUGAUGUCCUUCCCUCUGCCGGGGUGGACAUGGGAAGUUAGAACCAACAGCGGAUGGUCUUGGCUGUGUGAUGUACGCAAGCUGAUGAACCCGUGGUGAAGAUAGCACUACCUCAGCACCAUUCCUUGCUUCUCUCUCCUCCCCAGCCCUUUCCCAGUACUCUUUGCUAACUCUCCUGAACUUUUUCUAUUUCUCUUCAUCCCAUAGUGUUGACUUAGGGCCUAGCAGCCAGGUGAGGGCUAGGCAUCGUGUCUAUACAUCUGUUAUUUCCAAGUAUACAAGUUCAACUGUGUCCUGAGCACUAGUGUGAUCUAGUUUCCCAAUAGUCUCCCAAGAAGAUUCUUCUUGAAUGUACCCUCCAGCUGACCACAGACACACACUUAAAUCCUUUGGCAGGGCUGUCAUCUGUUGAUGGAUUAAUGUUGUGAGCUCAUCAUACCCCUGUAGGCUCAUGUGUGUCUGAUUGACUUUUGCAAGCUUCUCUUUCUUUGUCUCCUGUCACUCUGAACUUAGUCCCUUCCUUCAAAGUGUCUUAGCUGUUCCUUGACACUGCAGAGCCUCAGAGUCCUCUAUCUGGACAGACCCACUCCUCAGUCAGUUCUUCAAAACUCACCUCAGGUUUAACAGUCCCAAGAAGACCCUCUCUAGGCCUGGGGUUCUGAGGAUACCCCUCAUGUACUGUUUGAGUCCUGGCAUUUGCUAGCUCGAUUUUCUACUGGGUUUUCUUCUCGUAACUAGAAGUCUCAUGUGGCUAACACUACUUUGUAUUGAUUUAAAUUUCUCUAUGGCUUCUCUCUCUUAAACUCUGAUUUGCAUAGGAUUGGGCUCAAACUCUGGUUACUCAGUGUGGUAGUCAACCAUCACUGUUAGAAUGACUAGAUUUAGAAUUUUCUAGACGACUCACUUCUGGGUGUGUCUGUGAAUGUGUUUUCAGAGAGGCAGAGGAGAGAAGAUUCACUGACAGCGGGCCAAGACUGAACAAACUGGAAAGAGACAGCUGGAGGACAGUCGUCCUUUCUAGAUCUCUGUUUUCUGGUUCACAGAGAUGUGAAUACACUGCUUCCCACUUGUAUUGCUAAAGCCAUGAACAAGUCCACCCCAUGGAUUUCACCUUCAAACCAUCAUCCCAAAUAAAUCCAUCCUAUCUUAAA